rnacentral:rRNA from 1 species
GAUCAUGGCUCAGAUUGAACGCUGGCGGCAGGCCUAACACAUGCAAGUCGAACGGUAACAGGAAACAGCUUGCUGUUUCGCUGACGAGUGGCGGACGGGUGAGUAAUGUCUGGGAAAACUGCCUGAUGGAGGGGGAUAACUACUGGAAACGGUAGCUAAUACCGCAUAACGUCGCAAGACCAAAGAGGGGGACCUUCGGGCCUCUUGCCAUCAGAUGUGCCCAGAUGGGAUUAGCUAGUAGGUGGGGUAACGGCUCACCUAGGCGACGAUCCCUAGCUGGUCUGAGAGGAUGACCAGCCACACUGGAACUGAGACACGGUCCAGACUCCUACGGGAGGCAGCAGUGGGGAAUAUUGCACAAUGGGCGCAAGCCUGAUGCAGCCAUGCCGCGUGUAUGAAGAAGGCCUUCGGGUUGUAAAGUACUUUCAGCGGGGAGGAAGGGAGUAAAGUUAAUACCUUUGCUCAUUGACGUUACCCGCAGAAGAAGCACCGGCUAACUCCGUGCCAGCAGCCGCGGUAAUACGGAGGGUGCAAGCGUUAAUCGGAAUUACUGGGCGUAAAGCGCACGCAGGCGGUUUGUUAAGUCAGAUGUGAAAUCCCCGGGCUCAACCUGGGAACUGCAUCUGAUACUGGCAAGCUUGAGUCUCGUAGAGGGGGGUAGAAUUCCAGGUGUAGCGGUGAAAUGCGUAGAGAUCUGGAGGAAUACCGGUGGCGAAGGCGGCCCCCUGGACGAAGACUGACGCUCAGGUGCGAAAGCGUGGGGAGCAAACAGGAUUAGAUACCCUGGUAGUCCACGCCGUAAACGAUGUCGACUUGGAGGUUGUGCCCUUGAGGCGUGGCUUCCGGAGCUAACGCGUUAAGUCGACCGCCUGGGGAGUACGGCCGCAAGGUUAAAACUCAAAUGAAUUGACGGGGGCCCGCACAAGCGGUGGAGCAUGUGGUUUAAUUCGAUGCAACGCGAAGAACCUUACCUGGUCUUGACAUCCACGGAAGUUUUCAGAGAUGAGAAUGUACCUUCGGGAACCGUGAGACAGGUGCUGCAUGGCUGUCGUCAGCUCGUGUUGUGAAAUGUUGGGUUAAGUCCCGCAACGAGCGCAACCCUUAUCCUUUGUUGCCAGCGGUCCGGCCGGGAACUCAAAGGAGACUGCCAGUGAUAAACUGGAGGAAGGUGGGGAUGACGUCAAGUCAUCAUGGCCCUUACGACCAGGGCUACACGCGUGCUACAAUGGCGCAUACAAAGAGAAGCGACCUCGCGAGAGCAAGCGGACCUCAUAAAGUGCGUCGUAGUCCGGAUUGGAGUCUGCAACUCGACUCCAUGAAGUCGGAAUCGCUAGUAAUCGUGGAUCAGAAUGCCACGGUGAAUACGUUCCCGGGCCUUGUACACACCGCCCGUCACACCAUGGGAGUGGGUUGCAAAAGAAGUAGGUAGCUUAACCUUCGGGAGGGCGCUUACCACUUUGUGAUUCAUGACUGGGGUGAAGUCGUAACAAGGUAACCGUAGGGGAACCUGCGGUUG